rnacentral:sRNA from 1 species
GUGCUGUAUUGCCAUCUUUAAAGUCAUACCACUGGACCACAUCAGUAUUGCAAGCUGCUUGGGUAUCAUUAAUGAAGACAAAGUGGGAUUAUUAUUUUCUAUGAUUUGGGCUUUUGUAUUCUCCACUGGUUGAAUGCAAAUGGAAGCCAGAGGAAAAGGGAACCCUUGACACAGUUUUCAUAUAGACUGGCCUCCAGGGCAGACAGCAG